AUACCAAUAACUAGGUCUGGGUAU
rnacentral:siRNA from 1 species